rnacentral:sRNA from 2 species
UACAUUAGUCUGCCUAAUCUAGGGUUUACCCAAAACAUUUUGUUACACCGGGGUAAGCCUGGAGCGGAGGAACCAAGUUUGGGGCUAAUCUCAGUAGAAGAGCGAAGAAUGAAAAAUGAAGAACGAAAAAAGACAAAAUUACUCCGGUUUUUUCUCCUGUCUUUUUUUUUCUUUCUUCUGUUCUCUGAGAGGGACAUCUCUCAGUUCUAGCCCGUCAGCUAACUUCGUCGGCAUUGAGAGGAGACUGA